rnacentral:rRNA from 1 species
GACAGAGGGGGCGAGCGGUGUCCGGAGUCACUGGGCGUAAAGCGCGCGCAGGCGGCAACCUUAGUGUCGUGUGAAAGCCCCCGGCUCAACCGGGGGAGGCCAUGGCAAACUGGGUCGCUCGAGCUGCGGAGAGGCCCCUCGAAUUGCCGGUGUAGCGGUGAAAUGCGUAGAGAUCGGCAGGAAGACCAAGGGGGAAGCCAGGGGGCUGGCCGCAGGCUGACGCUGAGGCGCGACAGCGUGGGGAGCAAACCGG